CAGCCUGAUGCAGCANUGCCGCGUGAGUGAUGAAGGCCUUCGGGUUGUAAAGCUCUUUCUUUGGGGACGAUAAUGACGGUACCCGAGGAAGAAGCCCCGGCUAACUACGUGCCAGCAGCCGCGGUAAUACGUAGGUGGCAAGCGUUGUUCGGAUUUACUGGGCGUAAAGGAUGCGUAGGCGGAUAUGCAAGUCAGAUGUGAAAUCCCCGGGCUUAACUCGGAUGCUGCAUUUGAAACUAUAUAUGCUGGAGUGCAGGAAAAGUAAGUGGAAUUUCCCGGUGUAGCGGUGAAAUGCGUAGAUAUUAGGAAGAACACCAUGUGGGCGAAGGCGACUUACUGGACUGUAACUGACACUUGAGGCAUGAAAAGCGUGGGGAGCAAACAGGAUUAGAUACCUUGGUAGUCAA
rnacentral:rRNA from 1 species